AGUGAACGCUGGCGGUAGGCCUAACACAUGCAAGUCGAACGGCAGCACAGUAAGAGCUUGCUCUUACGGGUGGCGAGUGGCGGACGGGUGAGGAAUACAUCGGAAUCUACUUUUUCGUGGGGGAUAACGUAGGGAAACUUACGCUAAUACCGCAUACGACCUACGGGUGAAAGCAGGGGAUCUUCGGACCUUGCGCGAUUGAAUGAGCCGAUGUCGGAUUAGCUAGUUGGCGUGGUAAAGGCCCACCAAGGCGACGAUCCGUAGCUGGUCUGAGAGGAUGAUCAGCCACACUGGAACUGAGACACGGUCCAGACUCCUACGGGAGGCAGCAGUGGGGAAUAUUCGACAAUGGGCGCAAGCCUGAUCCAGCCAUACCGCGUGGGUGAAGAAGGCCUUCGGGUUGUAAAGCCCUUUUGUUGGGAAAGAAAAGCAGCAGGUUAAUACCCCGCUGUUCUGACGGUACCCAAAGAAUAAGCACCGGCUAACUUCGUG
rnacentral:rRNA from 1 species